rnacentral:rRNA from 1 species
ACAGCAGUCGCCACGGUAAUACCAGCAGCCCAAGUGGUGGUCGCGAUUAUUGGGCCUAAAGCGCUCGUAGCCGGGCCGGUAAGUCCCUUGUGAAAUCGGACGGCCUAACCGUUCGGCGUGCAAGGGAUACUGUCGGUCUUGAGGCCGGGAGACGUCCGAGGUACUCCGGGGGUAGCGGUGAAAUGUUCUAAUCCUCGGGGGACCACCGGUGGCGAAGGCGUUCGACGAGAACGGGCCUGACGGUGAGGGGCGAAGGCUAGGGGAGCAAACGGGAUUAGAUACCCCCGUAGUCCCUGUCUCUUAUA